rnacentral:rRNA from 1 species
GGGGUUGACGGUACCCUACUAGAAAGGAGCCGCUAACUUCGUGCCAGAAGCGUCGGUAAUACGGGGGCUCCAAGCGUUAUCCGGUGUUAUUGGGCGUAAAGAGUCGUGUAGGUGGUUGGGUAAGUUAUCUUUCAAAUAUCUUUGCUUAACAAAGAGGAGGGGGAUAAUACUGCUCGACUAGAAUUUUCUCAAGGGAGAUCGGAACUGAGGGAGGAGUAGUGAAAUGCGUUGAUACCCUCGGGAACACCAGUGGCGUAGGCGGAUCUCUGGGAGAAGAUUGACACUGAGACACGAAAGCUAGGGGAGCGAAGCAGAUUAGAGACCUGCGUAGUCCUAGCCGUAAACGCAUGCUUGCUAGCUGCAUGAAUCUACCUUCGGGUGGUAUCGUGUGGCGAAGGUAACCCGUUAAGCAAGCCGCCUGGAAAGUACGGCCGCAAGGCUGAAAUUCAAAGGAAUUGGCGGGGAGGCACACAACCAGUGGAACAUGUGGUUUAAUUCGAGACUAACCGAAGAACCUCACCAGGGUUUGACAUGUAGCUGCACGUCUUAAGAAAUUAAGACUCUCUUGAAGGUGCUACACAGGUGCUGCAUGGCUGUCGUCAGCUCGUUCCGUGAGGAGUGCCCUUAAGUGGGACAACGAGCGCAACCCCUAUUACAUGUUAGAAAUGUCAUGUAAGACUGCCUUGCCAUUUGGCGGGGAGGAAGGAGGGGCAGACGUCAAGUCCGCAUGGUCCUUAUGCCCUGGGCUACACACAUGUUACAAUGAGUACGGCAAUGAGUCUGUCGCGAGCACGUAAGUGUAAGCUAAUCUCUUAAAUGUACUCUCAGUGGGGAUUGAGGUCUGCAACUCGACCUCAUGAACACGGAAUUGGUAGUAAUCGCGGGUCAGCUAUACCGCGGUGAUACGUUCUUGCCUCUUGCACACACCGCCCGUCAAACCAGCAAAGUCGAUUAGUAUCCGAACCUCUCUUUU